rnacentral:misc_RNA from 1 species
UAUGAAGAACGUAGCGAAAUGCGAUAAGUAGUGUGAAUUGCAGAAUUCAGUGAAUCAUCGAAUCUUUGAACGCACAUUGCGCCCCUCGGUAUUCCGUGGGGCAUGCCUGUUCGAGCGUCAUUUAACCCCUCAAGCCUAGCUUGGUAUUGGGUGCUUGUCCCGCCUCUCGCGCGGCGACUCACCUCAAAGUCAUUGGCAGCCCGCAUCUCGCCGGCCGUGAGCGCAGCACAGACGCGCUCUUGGCAACGACGGAUCGGCUCUCCAAAAGCUUAUUUCAACCACUGACCUCGGAUCAGGUAGGGAUACCCGCUGAACUUAAGCAUAUCAAUAAGCGGAGA